rnacentral:rRNA from 1 species
AUGCCGCCCUACAAAUCCUCAGGCCGCCCAACGAAUCCCCAGGCUCCGUCACCUUUGCUCGCCUCCAUCCUCACCCCCGAACAUCUGAACAGCCUUUUUGGGUACAUAUUUUGCUAUAAAGGAGUUCAGCUAUGCCAUGGUGUAUACGUGGUUGUUCAUGUGCAGCAGUGUGCAGGUCUGGAGAGGGAGUAUUCAUCGGUGGAAGACCCAUCAGUACUUGCCAGAAUAUAUAUGUACAUACCUGACUGCAACGCAUGCUUGCAUCCCGUUCCAUCUGCAGAAAAAUUGAGGGAGUAUUCAUCGGUGGAAGACCCCUCAGUACUUGCCAGAAUAUAUAUAUGUACGUACCUGACUGCAAUGCAUGCUUGCAUCCCGUUCCAUCUGCAGAAAAAUUAA